AUUGAACGCUGGCGGCAGGCUUAACACAUGCAAGUCGAGCGGUAACAGAGAGAAGCUUGCUUCUCUGCUGACGAGCGGCGGACGGGUGAGUAAUGCCUAGGAAUCUGCCUAGUAGUGGGGGAUAACUUGCCGAAAGGUAAGCUAAUACCGCAUACGUCCUACGGGAGAAAGGAGGGGACCUUCGGGCCUUUCGCUAUUAGAUGAGCCUAGGUCGGAUUAGUUAGUUGGUGAGGUAAUGGCUCACCAAGACCGCGAUCCGUAACUGGUCUGAGAGGAUGAUCAGUCACACUGGAACUGAGACACGGUCCAGACUCCUACGGGAGGCAGCAGUGGGGAAUAUUGGACAAUGGGGGGAACCCUGAUCCAGCCAAGCCGCGUGUGUGAAGAAGGUCUUAGGAUUGUAAAGCACUUUAAGUUGGGAGGAAGAGCAGUUAACUAAUAUUUGACUGUUUUGACGUUACUGACAGAAUAAGCACCGGCUAACUUCGUGCCAGCAGCCGCAGUAA
rnacentral:rRNA from 1 species